rnacentral:sRNA from 1 species
AUGAGAUAAGAUCCCAUCUACCCAGAGUACAUCAAAUGAAGCUCUAAUGGUAAUCCCAUCUCCAAUCCUAAUAUAAGAACUUAACUCUACCCUUUGCCCUUUUUCUAAUCAUUCUUUUCUUUUCUCUUAACUCUAGGAGAAGCUUUCUCAACACUUUGAUACAUCUAGCGGAUUUGGAUUUCUUUAACAACUAAGGUUCUUGUUUUAAA